rnacentral:rRNA from 1 species
AGAUUGAACGCUGGCGGCAUGCCUAACACAUGCAAGUCGAACGGGAGUAGCAAUACUCUAGUGGCGGACGGGUGAGGGAAUACGUAGGAAUUUGCCCUUAAGUGGGGGAUAACCCGGGGAAACCCGGAUUAAUACCGCAUGACCUCGAAAGAGCAAAGUGGGGGAUCGCAAGACCUCACGCUUUUGGAGAAGCCUACGUCGGAUUAGCUAGUUGGUGAGGUAAUGGCUCACCAAGGCGACGAUCCGUAACUGGUCUGAGAGGAUGAUCAGUCACACCGGAACUGAGACACGGUCCGGACUCCUACGGGAGGCAGCAGUGGGGAAUAUGGACAAGUGGGCGCAAGCCUGAUCCAGCAAUGCCGCGUGUGUGAAGAGGCCUUCGGGUUAGUAAA